rnacentral:rRNA from 1 species
AUUGAACGCUGGCGGCAUGCCUUACACAUGCAAGUCGAACGGCAGCACGGGUGCUUGCACCUGGUGGCGAGUGGCGAACGGGUGAGUAAUACAUCGGAACAUGUCCUGUAGUGGGGGAUAGCCCGGCGAGAGCCGGAUAAAUACCGCAUACGAUCUACGGAUGAAAGCGGGGGACCUUCGGGCCUCGCGCUAUAGGGUUGGCCGAUGGCUGAUUAGCUAGUUGGUGGGGUAAAGGCCUACCAAGGCGACGAUCAGUAGCUGGUCUGAGAGGACGACCAGCCACACUGGGACUGAGACACGGCCCAGACUCCUACGGGAGGCAGCAGUGGGGAAUUUUGGACAAUGGGCGAAAGCCUGAUCCAGCAAUGCCGCGUGUGUGAAGAAGGCCUUCGGGUUGUAAAGCACUUUUGUCCGGAAAGAAAUCCUUGGCCCUAAUACGGUCGGGGGAUGACGGUACCGGAAGAAUAAGCACCGGCUAACUACGUG